rnacentral:rRNA from 1 species
UACGUAGGGGGCAAGCGUUAUCCGGAUUUACUGGGUGUAAAGGGAGCGUAGACGGCAGUGCAAGUCUGGAGUGAAAGGCGGGGGCUCAACCCCCGGACUGCUCUGGAAACUGUACGGCUGGAGUGCAGGAGAGGUAAGUGGAAUUCCUAGUGUAGCGGUGAAAUGCGUAGAUAUUAGGAGGAACACCAGUGGCGAAGGCGGCUUACUGGACUGUAACUGACGCCGAGGCUCGAAAGUGUGGGGAGCAAACAGG